rnacentral:SRP_RNA from 1 species
CCGUGCUAGAUGGGGAGCUAGCGGUGCCCUGUUGCCCACAAUCCGCUCCAGUGGGGUCGAAUUCCCUGUCGAGGCUGUGCUUCGUCUGGACAGUGUCCGUGUAAGUGGUGUUGAGGGUUUGGGCUCUGCGCAAAGAGCUCUCUGUGAAUCCCGUCAGGACCGGAAGGUAGCAGCGG